GUGUGUGUGUGUGUGUGUGUGUCGGUGCACUGUCUUCGGCUGAUGACGUCACACGGCCCGGGCUCUUGCCGCAGCUGCGUCGGAAUGAAAACAAUCGCACGUGCACAAGGCGGCGUUGCCAGAUGGGGAAUGACAAACUAUCGCAGCGUGAGCGUAAAAUGACGCAUUUUAAAGGAAACUACUCGCACAUAUCGAGUUUGACGUUGCCGGGGAGGAUAUGAUAAGAGUAAAGAUGACCACAGACCGUGUAUUCUGUAGCUUUGUAACGCGGUUUUAUUGUUAAGUAAACUAACAGUACUGUUGGAAAUUAAGCGCGAACAGUGGCCCCACCUGGCUGUAAAGAGUGACGAUACAAUGUUAUGUAUCGUGUUUGUGUUGGCUAAUAACCAUGUCCAAAAUUCUCCUACAUUAAAAGGUUUUUUUUUAUGUAUUUAUUGAUAGUACGGUAAAGUAGUAAAAAGACGAUUACUAUUAUACGUCUGGCAAUCCUGGCAGUACAGCUCGAGAAGUCAAGUGAACGCAAACUAACAAAAAAUGUACUCGCGGAAACGAGCAACAUCAUAGGAACGCCGUCCUCCUGUGGAAUCCCCGUCCUUACUCUGGCUGCUCAGGGUGGACGUGCAGGCCGUUCUCAGUGCGGGUGACGCUGUUGCUCUCCCAGAAGCUCUUUUGCAGCUGCUCCACUUCCGACACCAGCGGGAGGCUGAUGUCCAAGUGCAUCUUCAGGUUCUCCAACCACUCCUCCAGUUUGGAAAAGGGCGGGCUACGGAAACAAACGGAAAUGAAUGAGGGAGGUUCCAUCCUGUGAUGACACCUUAACCUCAGAGGACACCUCUGCUGUCAUCGCACGGAUCUUUUUAUGAGCCCAACCGGAGGUACACGGGAGGAUCUGCCCACCUCUUUCAGGAAUGUUCUUUGUGUCUCAUCGUCAAAGCGGAUCAGCUCCUUCAUCACCAUCACCUCCCCCGUCACCCUGUGGGUCACCUGAAGGUAGGAGUAAUUCCAAUUAGUCCUCCGCACGGGAACGUUCCGGCAUUGUGACGCGUUUCAACCUGGCCAUACAUACUGAAGCCAAACGUACCUUGAU